UACGUAGGGGGCAAGCGUUGUCCGGAUUUAUUGGGCGUAAAGAGCUCGUAGGCGGUUGGGCAAGUCACGUGUGAAAUCUCCACGCUCAACGUGGAGGCGCCACGUGAGACUGCCCUGACUCGAGUCCGGUAGGGGAGCGUGGAAUUCCCGGUGUAGCGGUGAAAUGCGCAGAUAUCAGGAAGAACACCCGUGGCGAAGGCGGUUCUCUGGGACGGUACUGACGCUGGAGACGCGAAAGCGUGGGGAGCGAACAGG
rnacentral:rRNA from 1 species